rnacentral:rRNA from 1 species
GUGGGGAAUUUUGGACAAUGGGCGAAAGCCUGAUCCAGCAAUGCCGCGUGCAGGAUGAAGGCCCUCGGGUUGUAAACUGCUUUUGUACGAAACGAAAAGCCUGGGGCUAAUAUCCCCGGGUCAUGACGGUACCGUAAGAAUAAGCACCGGCUAACUACGUGCCAGCAGCCGCGGUAAUACGUAGGGUGCAAGCGUUAAUCGGAAUUACUGGGCGUAAAGCGUGCGCAGGCGGUUUUGUAAGACAGUGGUGAAAUCCCCGGGCUCAACCUGGGAGCUGCCAUUGUGACUGCAAGGCUAGAGUGCGGCAGAGGGGGAUGGAAUUCCGCGUGUAGCAGUGAAAUGCGUAGAUAUGCGGAGGAACACCGAUGGCGAAGGCAAUCCCCUGGGCCUGCACUGACGCUCAUGCACGAAAGCGUGGGGAGCAAACAGGAUUAGAAACCCUGGUAGUCC